UACCUAAAUGCUAAAGCGCCAUAGAAAAGAGAUGUUAUGAUUUUAUUAUUGGCAGUACUGCUAAUCAUUACAAUAGUUGUUCAAUAGCAACGACAAUAUUACAAGAAUCAGCAAUUAUGGUAGUGCCAGUAAGACCUUCCAGGAUUAUUCAUGUGUAUGGUGCUUGCUGGGGAAGCUACCCAUGUGCUGCAGUAACAUGUACUGUGUGGCCUUUCUUGAAUUAUCUCCUUGGAACUUUAUAAUAACCCAAAGAGAGCCUCCGGCACGUGCUCUUCUACCACACAGUGGAAUUGUUGUGAAGUACCCGCCAGCCCAGAACUAUCCCGAGGCCACUUUCACGGAGGAGAGAUCCACAUGAGUAGUUUUCACCUAUGGGGUGUGAGUGAAAGUGAUGUGCAUCAAUUGCAGGCCAAGAGGAGAUGGCCACGAGAUCAUGUUAGCCCACAUGUAGAAGCAACCAGAAUUGGGUGGAAAGACAUCGACUCAUAGUGAAGAAGAUCUGCUUCACAGACCCCCCUGCCCCCUCUCUCAGGUCAAUCACAGUUCCCAAUCCUAGUCACCCCAGAGGGGAAAAAUAAUUUUAGUUUUCCAUGGAAUCAUUAUUGGUUAUAACAGCAGCUUUAGAAGACACAAGCACAGCAACAAGUUCUAGAACGCACUCACAAUUUCCU